rnacentral:tRNA from 1 species
UGGGGUAUCGUCUAGUGGCAGGACAGGUGGUUUUGGUCCAUCUAACCGAGGUUCGAAUCCUUGUACCCCAGCCA